CGGCUGGCGAAGGUAAGGGCUGCGAAACUGUGUCGUCGCACAGGCUUCGAAGGCGACACCACUGCUUGGGUGCUUUGAUAUCUUCAGCUCCGCUCACCGGCUUGUCUCGCAGUGCUAGUGAUAUCGCGAACGAAAAAAUGAUGCUGCACCUCACAUACAUGAAACUUGAAGGCCUGGUAUCCCUUGGUAGCCCUGGAACUGGAACAAAGCACUGCUGAACGUCCACCGACUUGCGUGCCAGGUUGCUUUUUGCGGCUCGUGGAAUAUGACGUGCUCAAGCUGACCAGUAAUGGAGUUGACAAAUUUCGCUUCCGUUGUCCUUUAAACAUACCUAGGCGCAUCUCUGGAGACAACGGUCCACUGAAAGCACCGAAUGGAAGGAGAGCGACUUCGGCUAACGUCUGCUACCUUCUCCAGCGUUGUGAUGUUCCUGCAUGGCACUCGGCAGACGACAACACGUGGAGGACGUCGUUACUUUGUUGGUCUCGGUGCCAUCGCUCGGCCUCCUUCUCUUGCUUCUUAAGUCCUACCGACGCACCUGCCAGGCAGGGAAGGGUAACGCUAAUGGUAACGGAAACAGAAACGGUAUAUUACCGAAAUUAGAGAUAGUAACGAUAACGGAAACGGAAACGCAUACUACUGUCCUCCAUUACCAGAAACCGAAACGGAAACGAAAAAUAUCGUCCGGUAUUGAAUUCGGGUAAUGGCUGUUACUGUUGUGCAAUGACAUUUCAUCUACUUUUCAUUUUAUUUUUGUAUUCUGAUGACUCCAUUCCGUGUAAGGCUCUAAAUACUACACGAGAGCAUGGAAACGAAGCGCAAUAUUGGAUAUCGAGGGUGCAUCACUCGCUUACCUACUCGUGACAUUACCUACAGACAUACAUGACAUACAUGACCUGAGACCGACCUACAUGACAUGAGACUUCCACGCACUCUACUCCACCACAGCACGAGGAUGAUAGACUAUAAUUUUUUCAAUUCUAUUUUUGUUUUUUAUUUGCACCGUGCCUAUGGCAGUAUUUGUUAGUACUGAGGGCGUCCGCCUACGGAUGCGACAUUGGAUGAAGGUUACGCCCACCUUGGACUACGCGUGACUGCAUAGAGAAGGCUAGCUGAAGACAUGUUCCACCUUUUCUUUAAAAAUUUUGCAAGAUGUGCGCAUCCCAACGACGUAAAAUUACUUGUGUAGUGUGUACGUGUGACAGCGAAGCAGCACCUGGGCAAAACAGGGUGUUGACAGAGCCGGACGGACCGUCCUUCCGCAGCUCUGUAACAUCAGUUCCAUUACCGGAAACAAUAACGGAAACGUAACGGAAACGAAAUUUACAAGCUGGUAUCAGAAACGGAUAACGGAAACGAAAAUAUAGCGGUAACGAAAAUAGAAACGGUAACCAAAAUACGUCCGUUACCCUUCCCUGCUGCCAGGCUACCCGAAUCGCAGUUCGCUACGACAAUCCAACUUUUACCAUUGUCCUUCCCAUGAGCCAUCCCCCAACGACGUAUCGUUCUCAUUCAGUUCUGCGUGUGGCAUUGGGUACCUCCGUGUUAGCCCUAUUAUAAAAACAUUCAGUGGAGUAUUAAAGGUGCACCUAUGUGACUUUCUGUUCUUCGCUGUGGCGAGUUAUCCAACGAAUAAAAUGAGUUCCUGCGAAAGAACGACAAGUGCGUCAGAUGACCUACAGCACGCUUGCGAGGGAACGUCGUGACGUAACGUGGUCCCCGAGCACGUGACUCGUGAUGUAGGGCGGCACAGCUCAAGCAGGCGCGUGAGCUGAGAAGAAAGAAAAAAAAAGCACGAGGACUUU